rnacentral:lncRNA from 1 species
UGUAUUUAAUUAAUGGAUUUUGAGUUUGUUAGAGAGGUGUACUCAGACUCAGUGUGUGUGUUUUAGAUGCAAUCCUUAUUUCAACGCCAUUCUAUAGUGGUCACUGAGGAUGUGCAUCCCUACAGUGGUGUUCGGCUCUUCUAUGUUCACCUCGACUGUGAGUCGACCUUUCCACCUCGCUGUGGAAAGACUGGAGAAAGCUAUGGGGAAGGCCACUAGCGAGGAAGUGAACUCCCAUAACCCCCUGGCUGAGGUCCACUCCCCUAAGGACUGGCUUCCUGGAGUUUGUCAAGAGGUAAUUUUUUUUCCUCACACCACAUUUCCAUAUUGUACAAUAUGUUUUC